CAGAGUUCUUGCCCUUACGGGUAGAUCUCCCACCCUUGAUAUCUAUUCUCUUGUUGCUUUGGCGGGACGCUUCUUGCCACGGGCUACGGUCCGUGAGUGCCCGCCAGAGACCCAAUCAACUCUUGUUUAUGUGUCGUCUGAGUACUAUAUAAUAGUUA
rnacentral:misc_RNA from 1 species